GCCUCCUUAGCUCAGUGGCUGAGCACUAGUCUUGUAAACUAGGGGUCAUGAGUUCAAUUCUCAUAGGAGGCA
rnacentral:tRNA from 1 species